UACGUAGGUGGCAAGCGUUGUCCGGAAUUACUGGGCGUAAAGGGCGCGUAGGCGGGCGGGCAAGUCCCUCGUGAAAGCCCACGGCUCAACCGGGGAGGGCCAUUGGAAACUGGGAGGCUUGAGUAUAGGAGAGAAGAGUGGAAUUCCACGUGUAGCGGUGAAAUGCGUAGAGAUGUGGAGGAACACCAGUGGCGAAGGCGACUCUUUGGCCUAUAACUGACGCUGAGGCGCGAAAGCGUGGGGAGCAAACAGG
rnacentral:misc_RNA from 1 species